CAGCAGCCGCGGUAAAACGGAGGGUGCAAGCGUUAAUCGGAAUUACUGGGCGUAAAGCGCACGCAGGCGGUCUGACAAGUCAGAUGUGAAAUCCCCGGGCUUAACCUGGGAACUGCAUUUGAAACUGUCAGGCUGGAGUCUUGUAGAGGGGGGUGGAAUUCCAGGUGUAGCGGUGAAAUGCGUAGAGAUCUGGAGGAAUACCGGUGGCGAAGGCGGCCCCCUGGACAAAGACUGACGCUCAGGUGCGAAAGCGUGGGGAGCAAACAGGAUUAGAUACCCCAGUAGUCCCUGUCUCUUAUAA
rnacentral:rRNA from 1 species